rnacentral:lncRNA from 1 species
GUCUAUAAACCAAUUUCAUAUAGACAGCUUUAGUCUAGAUUUAGGAUGUACUAGAAGACAAUUUAUGAGCCCAAAUUCCACCAUUCAAUGAAAUUGAUGCUACACAACAAGUUUAGGAGGUCGAAUGGAAGAACUCUCAAUUGUGUAAUUACUAAGUUAAUUUAAAUCUUGGUGUUUGAAAUUCAAUUAACUUUAAGUCUUCUAAACAAUGAUUACUAAUAUUAAUAAAAAUAUUUAAUGAAAUUUACUAAGGUCUUUUAAGGCUAUUUGCAUGAUUUCUACUUAAACCUCAAUGGUUUAUUCAAGAUCAUUUAAAUGGUCCUUAACUACUAAUUUUUAUGUGAUU